rnacentral:rRNA from 1 species
AUUGAACGCUGGCGGCAGGCCUAACACAUGCAAGUCGAGCGGAUGAAGGGAGCUUGCUCCUGGAUUCAGCGGCGGACGGGUGAGUAAUGCCUAGGAAUCUGCCUGGUAGUGGGGGAUAACGUCCGGAAACGGGCGCUAAUACCGCAUACGUCCUGAGGGAGAAAGUGGGGGAUCUUCGGACCUCACGCUAUCAGAUGAGCCUAGGUCGGAUUAGCUAGUUGGUGGGGUAAAGGCCUACCAAGGCGACGAUCCGUAACUGGUCUGAGAGGAUGAUCAGUCACACUGGAACUGAGACACGGUCCAGACUCCUACGGGAGGCAGCAGUGGGGAAUAUUGGACAAUGGGCGAAAGCCUGAUCCAGCAAUGCCGCGUGUGUGAAGAAGGUCUUCGGAUUGUAAAGCACUUUAAGUUGGGAGGAAGGGCAGUAAGUUAAUACAUUGAUGUCUUGACGUUACCAACAGAAUAAGCACCGGCUAACUACGUG